UUAGGGUCACACAAUUAACUGUAAUCUGGAUCACUAAAACACCAAGAAAUACUACAAUGCUUCCUUCUAGGACCAAUACUCCUUCAUCAACUGAUAACCACAAUGUGCAACCCUACACUCUUAAAAGACUGUUCAAAACACAAUAAUUUCCACCCAAUAUCAGGAUUAACAAACUUCACUCCAACCAAUCUGGAGUCACAAAAUUUCUGUAAUCAUAGACUUCUUCUAUCCAAAAUACACACAACUCUUGAUAAACAAAAAUCAUAAUCUUUCAAUCAUUAUUAAUCUUCCAAUAACUUUUCAUAUAAUUCAAUCCAUAUAAUACUCCAAUUACAUAAUCAAUAACUCAUAAAUCAAUCUCUGAUUUAUUCCACAGACUCACUUCUCAACAUUCAAAAACUAUCCAUUACUCUUCAACAAUAAAGACAACAAAGAAAACAAAGAGGUAGCACCAAGCUUAACUUCGGCUCAAGACUAUCAUAGUUUGGCCCCCCAAAAAACUUCUACAACUUAUAUAUAAUUACUACUGAUUUCCAGAUCCUAA
rnacentral:lncRNA from 1 species